GCUAUUUAGGUUAGAGUUUGAUCCUGGCUCAGGAUAAACGCUGGCGGCGUGCAUGAGACAUGCAAGUCGAACGGAGGAUCAGGGCUUGCCUUGAUCCUUAGUGGCGGACGGCUGAGUAACGCGUAGGUGACCUGCCCCGAAGUGGGGAAUAACUGCCCGAAAGGGUGGCUAAUACCGCAUGUGGUGGUGUGUUCGAUCACACCAGUAAAGCCGCAAGGCGCUUCAGGAGGGGCCUGCGUCCGAUUAGCUCGUUGGUGGGGUAACGGCUCACCAAGGCGACGAUCGGUAGGUGGUCUGAGAGGACGAUCACCCAGACUGGGACUGAGACACGGCCCAGACUCCUACGGGAGGCAGCAGUCGGGAAUUUUGCGCAAUGGACGAAAGUCUGACGCAGCAACGCCGCGUGAGGGAUGAAGGCCUUCGGGUUGUAAACCUCUUUUGUCAGGGACGAUAAUGACGGUACCUGACGAAUAAGUCACGGCUAACUACGUGCCAGCAGCCGCGGUAAUG
rnacentral:rRNA from 1 species